AGGUGAAUUUUUAGCAAAAGCUGUACUGAAAUCAAAAUAUUUUGUGGAUAAUGAAGUUGAAGAGACACUGAAAAAAAAUAACUUGGUUGCGGUUUUGUCAAAAUUAGAACAAUUAUUUGAUAUUUAUUUCGAUUUAAAACUCAACAGUUUUUCUAAAUGGAUUUAGAAGUGUCAUUCAUUUGACUAUAGGAUAGGAUAAUUCGAAAUACGGUGAUCGAAUUCAUGGCAUUUAGAUUUCUAAUCAAAUAUUACACGUUGGUUUUGCAAUAAACAAUAAUAAAAAUGAAUUUUUUAAUUCCAAGGCGAGUGGAUAAAUAUUCAUAUACGUCAACACGCUGAAUCGGGAAGAGCUUCUUUUACUUUAUAUAUCAAUAACGAAAAUGUUUAUACUAAACAAAACUUCAACCCACAAGUAUUUACAAAUGUCACAGUUUACGCAGGAGAUCCGUGGUAUGAAGCUCAGGAUGGCUCUAUUAAAAUGUUCAAUGUCAUUAAUGGAUAUUUAGAUGGGAAAAAAGAAGUGAAAAAGGACGCUAUACGAAAAAAGGCGUUUCGGUUAAAUUAUUAAUAUAUGUCAACGACUUGAUCUUUUAU
rnacentral:lncRNA from 1 species